rnacentral:rRNA from 1 species
UACGGAGGGAGCUAGCGUUAUUCGGAAUUACUGGGCGUAAAGCGCACGUAGGCGGCUUUGUAAGUAAGAGGUGAAAGCCCAGAGCUCAACUCUGGAAUUGCCUUUUAGACUGCAUCGCUUGAAUCAUGGAGAGGUCAGUGGAAUUCCGAGUGUAGAGGUGAAAUUCGUAGAUAUUCGGAAGAACACCAGUGGCGAAGGCG